CAGUUGGGCACAUCUGCACACAUUUACAAUAUCUGCCACCUCUUUUAACCCUCAACCCCGCCCCACAAAAUGAGUGAUGGUGCUUGUUGAUUUGCAGAUUCACAGUCUGGUGAGACAAGUUUGAGAUCUCAUAUUUUCAGCUCAUCCUUGAAAACCUUUCUUCGAUUUGACUGACCUUGAUGGCUCCCUGGAAUCUCACCUACAUUUUAUGGGAAAUUCAACUCUCCAGAGAGAAGAGCUUUCAGAUAGCUACGGGACUUGCAACUAUGACUUUCAGCUUUCGCUUUUGAAUGAGGCUCCAAAUGUCUCAAUGGUGGCACUAUUUCCAGAUUUGGGAGCCCUGCAAAGCUAAUCUGCUCAACCUUCACCUACUGGGUUCAAUGAAUAUGAAAAGCUGCCUUCCUGAAACUUUUCCUUCAAAGAGGGAAUGAUCUCCUGGAAUUCAAGCUUCUACAGGAGAACUGUGUGCAGGCCCAAGGAGAACAACUACAUGAGAUAAACCUUAUGUUUUCAGUUACAAUAAUUAGCAGUUCAUGUUUUAAAAUUUAAACAUUUAUGCUCUUAAAAUAUCUGCGGGGGAGGGCAGUGAUCCUGUGUAAAAAAAAUUUAGCGUAUUUAGAAAGUGUUUAAGGAAGAGAAUACCACGGAAAUUAAUUUAUAACUCUCUAAGACUUAUGUUUUUCCCCCUGUUUUCCCAAAUAAUUCUUCCUGGAGAGGUAAAUAUAGAAUAAUCAAUGGAACUGAGAUGAUCAAUGGAAUUAAGUCUGGGAAGGGAAAUGCAGGUUUCUUUUUUUCACCAAACCACAAGAACAUGCAAUAAAUAGGCUUGUGUGUUUCUUU
rnacentral:antisense_RNA from 1 species